CACUCCUGCGGGAGGCAGCAGUGGGGAAUUUUGGACAAUGGGCGAAAGCCUGAUCCAGCAAUGCCGCGUGAGUGAAGAAGGCCUUCGGGUUGUAAAGCUCUUUUGUCAGGGAAGAAACGGUGAAAGCUAAUAUCUUUUGCUAAUGACGGUACCUGAAGAAUAAGCACCGGCUAACUACGUGCCAGCAGCCGCGGUAAUACGUAGGGUGCAAGCGUUAAUCGGAAUUACUGGGCGUAAAGCGUGCGCAGGCGGUUUUGUAAGUCUGAUGUGAAAUCCCCGGGCUCAACCUGGGAAUUGCAUUGGAGACUGCAAGGCUAGAAUCUGGCAGAGGGGGGUAGAAUUCCACGUGUAGCAGUGAAAUGCGUAGAUAUGUGGAGGAACACCGAUGGCGAAGGCAGCCCCCUGGGUCAAGAUUGACGCUCAUGCACGAAAGCGUGGGGAGCAAACAGGAUUAGAUACCCCGGUAGUCCCAU
rnacentral:rRNA from 1 species